rnacentral:rRNA from 5 species
UUUUACGGAGAGUUUGAUCCUGGCUCAGGACGAACGCUGGCGGCGUGCUUAACACAUGCAAGUCGAACGAUGAAGCCCAGCUUGCUGG